GUUUUGUGUUAUAUGCAUGCUUCGUUUAAGCUGUCGUUCAAGGAUUUGGCGUGUGAAAUACCACAGAGGCUUAGAUACAGGUUCACAUGCUGCUAGACCUGCAGAACCGGAUGACCCCACUGUGACUGCUGCGAAAGCCACAGCGAAGGCCCUGUUGCCGGUCCCUGCCCAGCUGCUCGCCAUUGCCCCAGAGCUCGGGAUAAGAGAGCAGGAGCCCGAUGUGGUGAAACAAACACACAGAAAGGCAGUCUCCCGCAGUCCUUUGGAGUCUGUGAUAAGAGCAGGUCCAUCUCUUCCUAAAACAGGGUUUCCCCAGGUUUGAUCAACCCAAAUUUAAGACUUUUUUUAGACUUUUUUAAGACCACUUCAAUGAAAAUUAAGACCUACAUCGCACCCAUUAAGCAGUCGUAAAACGCAGUCGUGCAUAUGUUAUUCAUGUUUUUUUGGAACAUAUGAAACAUUCAUGUCAAUACAUUAAUGAAUGUGCCAAAGGAUAAGUGUGCACUCACCAAUCAAAGAGCCAAACUGAGGGCCUAACUCAAAGUCUAGAGGCCUGAUGUCUAUUAAGACCAUGUACCCAGAUUAAAAAAACAAUACACAAAGUGAUGGUGUGAAAGUGUAGCUGUAUUUUUGGUUUAAAUAUCAAACUUUCAACACACAAUAUAAAAUAUAAACAAACAAACUCUUUUCAAAUUGCUGUAAUUUCUCAGCAUUCAAAUUUCCUCAACCAUUUCAAUGAAUCCACCACUUGCCUCGUUGACCUCUUUUACUAACUCCUUCGUAAUGUAUGGAGCCAGCCCGAACCAUAACCCUAAUCCGUCCACAGACAUGGUGACUAAUGUAUGAUAGUAAGCAUUAUAGGCCCUUAACACUAAUAUUCGGAAACAACACUGCCUCAAAAGGAUAUUGGCCUAAGCAACACCAGUAGAGGCUAUACUUUUCCCUGAACUUUUAAACGUUGCAAACGUGCAAAAACAUAAUUAUAUAUUUAUGUGGCAUUCAGUCCAAUGCUUAAAAUAUAUCUGUGGCAUUCAGUCGGC
rnacentral:lncRNA from 1 species